GGGCGUAAAGAGCUCGUAGGCGGUUUGUCGCGUCUGCUGUGAAAUCCGGAGGCUCAACCUCCGGCCUGCAGUGGGUACGGGCAGACUAGAGUGCGGUAGGGGAGAUUGGAAUUUCUGGUGUAGCGGUGGAAUGCGCAGAUAUCAGGAGGAACACCGAUGGCGAAGGCAGAUCUCUGGGCCGUAACUGACGCUGAGGAGCGAAAGGGUGGGGAGCAAACAGGCUUAGAUACCCUGGUAGUCCACCCCGUAAACGUUGGGAACUAGUUGUGGGGUCCAUUCCACGGAUUCCGUGACGCAGCUAACGCAUUAAGUUCCCCGCCUGGGGAGUACGGCCGCAAGGCUAAAACUCAAAGGAAUUGACGGGGACCCGCACAAGCGGCGGAGCAUGCGGAUUAAUUCGAUGCAACGCGAAGAACCUUACCAAGGCUUGACAUAUACGAGAACGGGCCAGAAAUGGUCAACUCUUUGGACACUCGUAAACAGGUGGUGCAUGGUUGUCGUCAGCUCGUGUCGUGAGAUGUUGGGUUAAGUCCCGCAACGAGCGCAACCCUCGUUCUAUGUUGCCAGCACGUAAUGGUGGGAACUCAUGGGAUACUGCCGGGGUCAACUCGGAGGAAGGUAAU
rnacentral:rRNA from 1 species